rnacentral:rRNA from 1 species
GAUGAACGCUGGCGGCGUGCCUAAUACAUGCAAGUCGAGCGAAUGGAUUAAGAGCUUGCUCUUAUGAAGUUAGCGGCGGACGGGUGAGUAACACGUGGGUAACCUGCCCAUAAGACUGGGAUAACUCCGGGAAACCGGGGCUAAUACCGGAUAACACUUUGAACCGCAUGGUUCGAAAUUGAAAGGCGGCUUCGGCUGUCACUUAUGGAUGGACCCGCGUCGCAUUAGCUAGUUGGUGAGGUAACGGCUCACCAAGGCAACGAUGCGUAGCCGACCUGAGAGGGUGAGCGGCCACACUGGGACUGAGACACGGCCCAGACUCCUACGGGAGGCAGCAGUAGGGAAUCUUCCGCAAUGGACGAAAGUCUGACGGAGCAACGCCGCGUGAGUGAUGGAGGCUUUCGGGUCGUAAAACUCUGUUGUUAGGGAAGAACAAGUGCUAGUUGAAUAAGCUGGCACCUUGACGGUACCUAACCAGAAAGCCACGGCUAACUACGUGCCAGCCGCCGCAGUAA